AAAGGAAUUGACGGGGGCCCGCACAAGCAGCGGAGCGUGUGGUUUAAUUCGAUGCUACACGAAGAACCUUACCAGGGUUUGACAUGCAAGUGGUAGAGAAGCGAAAGCGGAACGACCCUUCGGGGAGCUUGCACAGGUGCUGCAUGGCUGUCGUCAGCUCGUGUCGUGAGAUGUUCGAUUAAGUUCGCUAACGAGCGCAACCCUCGUUGCGUGUUACAAGUGUCACGCGAGACCGCCGGUCUUAAACCGGAGGAAGGUGAGGAUGACGUCAAGUCAGCAUGGCCUUUAUAUCCUGGGCUACACACACGCUACAAUGGCCAGUACAAUAGGUAGCCAAACCGCGAGGUGGAGCCAAUCCUAAAAACUGGCCUCAGUUCAGAUUGCAGGCUGCAACUCGCCUGCAUGAAGAUGGAGUUGCUAGUAACCGCAGGUCAGCUAUACUGCGGUGAAUACGUUCCCGGGCCUUGUACACACCGCCCGU
rnacentral:rRNA from 1 species